GGGUGACAGUGAGGGAGGGAGUGACUAGUGACAGAGAGAGGGAUGGGGUGACUAGUAACAGUCACCCCCUCUCUCACUCUGUCACUAGUCACACCCUCGCUCACUCUGUCAUU
rnacentral:miRNA from 1 species